rnacentral:rRNA from 1 species
GACGGAGGAUGCAAGUGUUAUCCGGAAUCACUGGGCGUAAAGCGUCUGUAGGUGGUUCAAUAAGUCAACUGUUAAAUCUUGAGGCUCAACCUCAAAAUCGCAGUCGAAACUAUUAAACUAGAGUAUAGUAGGGGUAAAGGGAAUUUCCAGUGGAGCGGUGAAAUGCGUAGAGAUUGGAAAGAACACCGAUGGCGAAGGCACUUUACUGGGCUAUUACUAACACUGAGAGACGAAAGCUAGGGUAGCAAAUGGG